rnacentral:rRNA from 1 species
CCUACGGGAGGCAGCAGUGAGGAAUAUUGGUCAAUGGCCGGAAGGCUGAACCAGCCAUGCCGCGUGAAGGUCAGUGCCCUAUGGGCGUUAAACUUCUUUUGUGCGGGAGCAAUAAUGGUCACGUGUGGCCAGACGAGAGUACCGUACGAAUAAGCAUCCGCUAACUCCGUGCCAGCAGCCGCGGUAAUACGGGGGAUGCAAGCGUUAUCCGGGUUUAUUGGGUUUAAAGGGUGCGUAGGCUGUGAGGUAAGUCAGCGGUGAAAUGCCCCCGCUCAACGGGGUGAAGUGCCAUUGAUACUGCCUGGCUGGAAUGCGGAUGCCGUGGGAGGAAUGUGUGGUGUAGCGGUGAAAUGCAUAGAUAUCACACAGAACACCGAUUGCGAAGGCAUCUCACGAAUCCGCGAUUGACGCUGAUGCACGAAAGCGUGGGUAUCAAACAGGAUUAGAUACCCUAGUAGUC